rnacentral:lncRNA from 1 species
UUUAAUGCUUUGUCAAGCACGUCAGCAGUCCUGGACUACCUUACAGACCAUUAUGGUGAUGAUUCAACUUUCUAAGUCAUUGUAGUAUGUAUUUUUUACCUACAUGGAACCAGAUGAGGUUACAUCCUCAUAUUUCUUUUAAGUCUAUGGCUUUUAAUAUCAGUAUAACAGCAAUCACUGGGGCCAGACAUGAAGGCCCAUGUCUCUUAUCCAACUACUCAGAAAGCUGAAUGAAGAUGUUUGGAAAUUCUAGGCCAGCAAAACUCUAUCUGAAAGAACAAAUGGAACUUUUCCAUAACUGUAAGAACUCAGUCCUGGGGCUGUAGAGAUGGCUCACCAGUUAAAGCCUUGGCUGCUCUUCCAGAGGACCUGGAUCCAAUUUCCAGCUCCCAAGUGGCUGCUCACUACUGUCUGUAACUCCAUUUCCAGGGGAUCCCACAUGCUCUUCAGGCCUCCUCAGACACCAGCUAAGCAUAUGGUGUACAGACAAACAUGCAAGCAGAACAUUCAUACACAUAAAACUAACAACAACAAAGUCAGCCCUGUACCCUUCCUCAUGGGUUCCACUUCAGUAGAUCGUGAGCAGACCCAGAAGUUUUAAAGAACUCAGGACCUUCCAACAUCCAAUAGUCCCAGAUCAAAUAUUGGAAAACUCUGCUUCUAAUCUUUAUGGGUGUAGUGGAUGGGUGGGGGUGGAAGUUUUACUAAAGGUAUUCUGUUUUUAAGUGUUUUAAAUAAAACUUUUCUAACAGCAAGAAGGUGUGACUCAAGU